rnacentral:rRNA from 1 species
GACGAACGCUGGCGGCGUGCUUAACACAUGCAAGUCGAACGAUGAUCAGGAGCUUGCUCCUGUGAUUAGUGGCGAACGGGUGAGUAACACGUGAGUAACCUGCCCCUGACUCUGGGAUAAGCGUUGGAAACGACGUCUAAUACUGGAUACGACUGCCGGCCGCAUGGUCUGGUGGUGGAAAGAUUUUUUGGUUGGGGAUGGACUCGCGGCCUAUCAGCUUGUUGGUGAGGUAAUGGCUCACCAAGGCGACGACGGGUAGCCGGCCUGAGAGGGUAACCGGACACCCUGGGACUGAGACACGGCCCAGAGUGCUACGGGAGGCAGCAGUGGGGAAUAUUGCACAAUGGGCGAACGCCUGAUGCAGCAACGCCGCGUGAGGGAUGACGGCCUUCGGGUUGUAAACCUCUUUUAGUAGGGAAGAAGCGAAAGUGACGGUACCUGCAGAAAAAGCACCGGCUAACUACGUGCCAGCCGCCGCAGUAA